rnacentral:rRNA from 1 species
ACCCUGCUGACGAGCGGCGGACGGGUGAGUAAUGCAUAGGAAACUGCCCAGUAGUGGGGGAUAGCCCGGGGAAACCCGGAUUAAUACCGCGUACGCCCUUCGGGGGAAAGCAGGGGAUCUUCGGACCUUGCGCUAUUGGAUGUGCCUAUGUCGGAUUAGCUAGUUGGUGGGGUAAAGGCCUACCAAGGCGACGAUCCGUAGCUGGUCUGAGAGGAUGAUCAGCCACAUCGGGACUGAGACACGGCCCGAACUCCUACGGGAGGCAGCAGUGGGGAAUAUUGGACAAUGGGGGCAACCCUGAUCCAGCCAUGCCGCGUGUGUGAAGAAGGCUUUCGGGUUGUAAAGCACUUUCAGUGAGGAGGAAAAGUUGGUCGUUAAUACCGGCCAGCCUUGACGUUACUCACAGAAGAAGCACCGGCUAACUCCGUGCCAGCAGCCGCGGUAAUACGGAGGGUGCAAGCGUUAAUCGGAAUUACUGGGCGUAAAGCGCGCGUAGGUGGUUUGAUAAGCGAGAUGUGAAAGCCCCGGGCUUAACCUGGGAACGGCAUUUCGAACUGUCAGGCUAGAGUAUGGUAGAGGAGUGUGGAAUUUCCUGUGUAGCGGUGAAAUGCGUAGAU